UUGGAGUUUCUGCAUAUUCUGUAGUUUGUGGUGCUGAUCUCAGAAACAAUGCAUGAAAUCAUAUUCUCAGUUGGAUCUUUGAACCAAACAGCUCUGAUUGCCUAAAAGGACAGAGUGCUUUUCAUUUUUUUAACUUUUUCUUCUGGAUCCCACUAACGGAGCCAGAGGUUCUGCAUUCAAUCCUUAGUUGGCAAACACCUGUUCACCAUUUGCCAGGCAGAUAUGAGCAGAUCCUAAACUUUCUGCGUUUUAAGAACCAAUGUUCCAGUCGAUUUCUCCACCUUCGAACUCGGAAAUCUCAACUUCCGAGUUCAAAUUGAAAGCAGCAACAUGCCUCAAACUGCCUCUGGGAGUCAUUUUUAUAUCGAAAACCUUUUACUCCGAAGGAAAAACCAUCAUGAAUUAUUGAACUUCUGGAACCCAACCUUCACUAGACGUUUCUUUUAAUUUUCAGCCUCAUUGAAAAUGAAGUAAUUUCAACCAAAAGCUAAAGAAUCUUAUUGUUAAAUCAGUUUUGUAAAGUUUUCGGUUUAUUUUUUUACGGUCAAACGGUUUGUUUCAGAGACCCACCUGGUCUUCUGCCUGAAGGCCUAAAGCUGUUUUUACUGUUCAACACUAGUUUUUAUAUGGAAUACAGAAUAUUGUAUUAAUAAAAGACAUUUAUUUUCUACUAUAUAUGAAACUUUCAGAA